rnacentral:rRNA from 1 species
AUUGAACGCUGGCGGCAGGCCUAACACAUGCAAGUCGGACGAGCGGCGGACGGGAGAGGAAUGUAUGGGACCCUGCCUGAUGGAGGGGGAUAACUACUGGAAACGGUAGCUAAUACAGCAUACCAUCAGAUGUACCCAUAUGGGAUUAGCUGGUAGGUAAGGUAACGGCUUACCUAGGCGACGAUCCCUAGCUGGUCUGAGAGGAUGAUCAGCCACACUGGGACUGAGACACGGCCCAGACUCCUACGGGAGGCAGCAGUGGGGAAUAUUGCACAAUGGGCGCAAGCCUGAUGCAGCCAUGCCGCGUGUAUGAAGAAGGCCUUCGGGUUGUAAAGUACUUUCAGUCGGGAGGCGUUACCGGCAGAAGAAGCACCGGCUAACUCCGUGCCAGCAGCCGCGGUAAUAC